UUUAUUAAGUAGUUUCUUUUCAUGUUUAUAACUUAGAAAUUACAUUAAGGUAUUCUGUUCUUUUCCAUUUGUUGCUAUGUGUGCUAGAGACAUGCUUUAAGAAUGGUUAUCUUUUCUUAAUGGCAUCCGAAGAGUAAGAUAUUAGGAUGCCAUUAAGCUAAUGGUUAUCUUUCCUAAGAGGUUUGCAUUGCCUUAAUUGUCUUCUUGAAAUACGCAUUACGAUGUACGUUGGUAGGUGCAAUUCCAGCUGCCAAACCUCCUUUGUCUUGAACUGCUUGCUGCUGUAAAUGAACUGCAAUGUCAUCCCAUUCUCAAUUGGGAAUUCUCUGCAAAAAUGACAAUAAUUGAUAUUCAUAUAGUUACAUAGGAAUACAUGAUCUGUCGAAUUAUUAAAGGGGCAAUAGAAACUUGAUGUUCACUCCAAGAUGCAAAAAUGAACACCACAAGGCUAUUGGCUACAGUUUAAACAAAACAAUAAUUGAAUCUCUCUUCUGGCAUAUUCUAUAUUAGACUUCAUCAAAUCUAGGAAGAAUGUGAAAAGUUUUAGUUUGACAGUCAUAUGAACAGUUUAUUGUAUGAACAACAAACCUAUAAUUGCAGGUAAGUAUUGUACUCCCAACAAACCUAGGAAAAAUGAUAACAAGUUAUGGUAUGACAUUAUUUGUUUCAUUUCAGUUUUUAAAAGCUUUGUCGUUUAUAUAUUGAAACAACAAGAACCAAGUAAAUUCUGACAUAUAAUGCAAGACGUAUUAUUUGUUAAGUCAGCUUGGUCACUUUGCCUAGUUGACUUCUUUUAUCCAGCAAUUUAGAUGCAUCAUGUAUAAGUCUUGGAGAAGAACCUGUAAUGAUGUACCAUUACCUUUGUCUUCAUUGUUCCGUUAGAUUCACCUUUUGUCUCUCUUCCUCUUCUCUCUUACUACUUGAUUUACUUGAGGUGAGUAUAUUACCUCAAGUACUGAUAAUUUCACAUGACUAGCCUUCAUACAUUAUAUUGAUUUGUUGAAAUUUAACUAUUGAUUUGCAGUUUGAAGAUUACAAAGAAAGCAACCGUAGUGGAAGAACAUUGAUAUCAAUUUCAGGACUCUUUGUGUGGACUUUGCAGUGAACAUAUAAAAGAAAUCAAGAAGGAAAAUCCUCGUCUAUCAAGACAUAAUGUGGAUCGAAUUCAUAAUGAAAGAUUUCAACUAUGGUUUAGAAAUCAUGUCGAGAAGAUGCAUAUGGCUGGUGAAAAAUAUCUGAGGAUAUUCAAACUUUAGCUAUUGGCCCAUUAAUACAAGCAAAAGAAUGACU